rnacentral:rRNA from 1 species
ACGGAAGGCAGCAGUGAGGAAUAUUGGUCAAUGGACGGAAGUCUGAACUAGCCAUGCCGCGUGAGGGAAGAAUGCCCUAUGGGUUGUAAACUUCUUUUGCAGCAGAGUAAUAAGUGGGAUGCGUCCCAUGAUGAGAGUAUGCGGCGAAUAAGCAUCGGCUAACUCCGUGCCAGCAGCCGCGGUAAUACGGAGGAUGCAAGCGUUAUCCGGAUUUAUUGGGUUUAAAGGGUGCGUAGGCGGACUGUUAAGUCAGCGGUGAAAUACCACGGCUCAACCGUGGGGCUGCCGUUGAUACUGCCGGUCUGGAGUACGAUCGGCGCCGGCGGAAUGUGUCAUGUAGCGGUGAAAUGCAUAGAUAUGACACAGAACACCGAUCGCGAAGGCAGCUGGCGAGAACGAUACUGACGCUGAGGCACGAAGGUGCGGGGAUCAAACAGGAUUAGAUACCCUGGUA